ACGGGGCCCGCACAAGCGGUGGAGUAUGUGGUUUAAUUCGAUGCAACGCGAAGAACCUUACCUGGUCUUGACAUCCCGGAGACCCUUAGGAAACUAGGGGUGCUUCCAUCUGGAAGAAUCUGGAGACAGGUGCUGCAUGGCUGUCGUCAGCUCGUGUCGUGAGAUGUUGGGUUAAGUCCCGCAACGAGCGCAACCCUUGCCUUUAGUUGCCAGCAGUUCGGCUGGGCACUCUAAAGGGACUGCCGGUGUUAAACCGGAGGAAGGUGGGGAUGACGUCAAGUCCUCAUGGCCUUUAUGACCAGGGCUACACACGUACUACAAUGGCCGAUACAAAGGGCAGCGACACUGCGAGGUGAAGCCAAUCCCGUAAAAUCGGUCUCAGUCCGGAUUGGAGUCUGCAACUCGACUCCAUGAAGUUGGAAUCGCUAGUAAUCGUGGAUCAGCAUGCCACGGUGAAUACGUUCCCGGGCCUU
rnacentral:rRNA from 1 species